AAUCAAACCUAACUCCCCGCCCCCAAUUCCUCUACUGAACAGUUGGAAAUCGUUUCCGCCACCUAGCACUACUUCAUCACCACUCGCCGCCACGUUGACCACCAUUGACAAUCACCGAAAAUCGCCCCACGACGGCGGAUCACCUCCAAACGGCCCAAAUUAUUCACCAUAUAAUACUCACCCCUUCCUCAUCCCUAAUCCAUCAACCAUUUUCUCAAAAACCUAUCCAAACUCCACGAUUAGUGGAUCUGAAAAAUUCAAGAACAUCAAAACUUCCCCUUUUAUAUUUCUGGACCGAUUCGGUAACUUGUGAGGUUGAAUCGUACAUCAAUCGAAGGCUAUUGUCAAGAGCUAUCAGUUGGUGUGAGGUUUGAUUCAUUUAUCGGUCGUCGGAGGUCGGUCAACUCGUCUUUAACUGGCCAGAACACUCACAACUCUCCAUUAUUCUCUUUCGGUCAAAACUUCAAACCCUUAGAGGUUUCUGACCAAUGAAGUACUUAUUCGACCAAAUGGUUGAACAAGUAUUCAUUGGUCAUAAAACCUUGAUCGAUUUUUAAGCGACAGAUUUUGGGAGCCCAGAUUCUUUCCAUAAUUUUAAUUUUCGUGCUGACGAUUGGUUUCCUUUUGAUUUGAGCCGUUCAGAGAUUGAUUUGCGCGGAAUGGGCUUAUUAGUGGAUUGAUUUUGCUCGUUAGAGAUCCAGGUACAUCCGCUUGUGCCGGACGCUAGUGAUAGACCAGCUAUUUCUCGAGACUUCAAGACUGAUACGGGUGGCUAUUGCGUUACUAUCUGGGUAGAGUGACACGAGCUCCUAUUGUGUUAAAUGUCUGGGCGGAGUGAUACAAGUAGCUAUUAUGAAAUGAUCAUCACGGAGAGACAAAGGUGGAUAUGUCAGGCGAUUGUGAUAUUGGGCCUAUGAACAUGCCGGGGGGAUUGUGAUAGUGAGCCUCUGACCAUGUCGGCCGGAUUGUGAUAGUGAGCCUAUGUCCAUGCUGGGAUGAUUGAGGUAUUGGCACGUGAGUUGUCCAUAUGGUUAUGAUUGAUAAUGUGGGUACAAGGUGCCAUGUGUAUAUGAUUUAGCACUCGUGGCUUGUGGUUUUGAGGAGUGGUACCUCGAGGUGGUUUUGUUGUAAACAUUGUGUUAUAACAUCUUGAUUAUUUGGUUGUCAUGUGUCUACCUUUUUUGGUUUCACUGGUACUUUAACGGUGUUCCGAUUA